rnacentral:rRNA from 1 species
GACGAACGCUGGCGGCGUGCUUAACACAUGCAAGUCGAACGGAAAGGCCCUGCUUUUGUGGGGUGCUCGAGUGGCGAACGGGUGAGUAACACGUGAGUAACCUGCCCUUGACUUUGGGAUAACUUCAGGAAACUGGGGCUAAUACCGGAUAGGAGCUCCUGCUGCAUGGUGGGGGUUGGAAAGUUUCGGCGGUUGGGGAUGGACUCGCGGCUUAUCAGCUUGUUGGUGGGGUAGUGGCUUACCAAGGCUUUGACGGGUAGCCGGCCUGAGAGGGUGACCGGCGGCAUGGGGGCGGGGGGAGGACGCAGCAGGCGGCGGGGGGAAGGAGGGGGGACGAAGGCACGGAGGGCGGAGGGGGGGUGCGGCAAGGCCGGGGGGGGGAGGGCGGCCGGGGGGUUGUACGGCGGUUUCGCUUGGGACGGGGGGGGGGAGAGGGUAGGGGGGAAAGGAGCCCGGGCACACGACGGGGGAGCGGACGGGGAAAGAGGCGGAAGAGCAAGCGUACGAGC